AAUUCGCUCCAGUUCCGAACUCCGUUUACUCAUUCUAUUUUUAUUUAUUUGUUUAUAAAUACGUAAUUCUGAAGUGAAUAAAUUAUGUAUGCUCGUCCAAUGAAUUUAUAGUAUCCGUGUCCUGGGAAGUCGUGGCCCAGUAGUUAGUGUGCCGGACUGUGAGUCUAUGUUUACAUCUCGUUACUAUAGCCCAUUGUGUAGCUGUGAGCUUAACAACAACCAACCAACCACAUCUUCUAAGUUCAAAAUAGGAGCGGAAAUUUGUAAACAACACCUGGCGUGGAAAGAUGACGAGAUAAAAACAUUUUUCUUCUUUGAUCAUCACAUAAAUAUUUAGCUAAAUAAUCUCAAUCGAAACUAUGUGGACCCUGCAAAAGAGCUGGAACGUUUUACACAUCGAAGAGAAGCAGUAUUUCUUCUGGCGACACUCUGGACUCACGUCGAGAGUCAUUAUAGACAGAAUUCGAGGGCCGCUGACGUGGCUGAAACCAGAAUUGUUUACGUGGAUGAUAAUUUCUUUCUUUGCUCCGAACAGUUCCGAUUCAAUUGUGCCAAGAAUCGAUUCAUGUGUAAUAAGACUUUGUGAACAGUCUUAUGUCGUGUAGGACAGGACAUAUUUACGCUGCGUCGUGUCUGUGGAGAUACUCCAAGGAGAGAUUCUCGGUCACCAAGACAAGUUAUUGUGGCCAAGAAACAUUUGAAACCACACGGAUAUCACUUCACGGAGACCAAACUUUUGAAACCACUGCGAUUUGUUCGGAUAUUACUCCGGGAAAACAAAGAAACGUUUCACUCCACUGCGUUUGUAGUGGACUUAAUUCACAAAAUCAAAGGAAUAUUCGAAACAGCAGUGAUUUGAGACCGACACUACUUGAAGAUAAUUAAAAAGCUGAGAACAGUCUUUUCAUGAACAUUCCAUAACCUUAUCUACUGUCAGUUAUAGAACGGAAUAUGGAAACUGUUUCUUUUCAAUAUCAUCUCAUCAGUUCGUGUUUGUUAAGUAAAGGUAAACA